GCUUUCUCUGGCGGUGGUAAUUCUGUUGAUUUUUUUCUUUAUGUCACUGAUGUUUCCUGGUGCCUUGCUUGACCAGUGAAGGACAGUCCUUGCUUGACCAGUGAAGGAUAAGGUCCCCAGGCUUUGCCGACCAGUUCCUCAUCCUGCGAACCAUCUCCUGUUUUCAUAGCCUCCUCUCAGUCCCCUGGCAGCCUGCACCUGCUGCUUCCCCAUCAAGCUGUACCUUCCCCGACAGCCAGGGAUGAUGGCCAAGAACCAGCUCGGUCUCUCACAGGUUUGAUUGUCACAUCUUACACGUCACUGCUCAGGUCCAAUCUCAAUGAAUUAUUUGGUGCGCUGACA